AUUUUUUGGUCAGGGAUGAGCUCGCGGCCUAUCAGCUUGUUGGUGAGGUAAUGGCUCACCAAGGCGUCGACGGGUAGCCGGCCUGAGAGGGUGACCGGCCACACUGGGACUGAGACACGGCCCAGACUCCUACGGGAGGCAGCAGUGGGGAAUAUUGCACAAUGGGCGCAAGCCUGAUGCAGCAACGCCGCGUGAGGGAUGACGGCCUUCGGGUUGUAAACCUCUUUUAGCAGGGAAGAAGCGAAAGUGACGGUACCUGCAGAAAAAGCGCCGGCUAACUACGUGCCAGCAGCCGCGGUAAUACGUAGGGCGCAAGCGUUAUCCGGAAUUAUUGGGCGUAAAGAGCUCGUAGGCGGUUUGUCGCGUCUGCUGUGAAAUCCCGAGGCUCAACCUCGGGUCUGCAGUGGGUACGGGCAGACUAGAGUGCGGUAGGGGAGAUUGGAAUUCCUGGUGUAGCGGUGGAAUGCGCAGAUAUCAGGAGGAACACCGAUGGCGAAGGCAGAUCUCUGGGCCGUAACUGACGCUGAGGAGCGAAAGGGUGGGGAGCAAACAGGCUUAGAUACCCUGGUAGUCCACCCCGUAAACGUUGGGAACUAGUUGUGGGGUCCAUUCCACGGAUUCCGUGACGCAGCUAACGCAUUAAGUCCCC
rnacentral:rRNA from 1 species